GGCGUCCCGGGAAAGGGGAUGCUGGAGCUCCUGCCGACGCUCCACCUGUAGCCCCGCCCUUGACUCCGCCCACUUCCCCAGCCCCUCCCUUCCAGGCGCAGCCUCGAGGUGGCGCUGUGGAGCCGCGCAGGGUCUAGGGCGACUCUCUGAGGGAGCCGCGGCCGCCAGGCUCCGUGGGUUUUGGUUCAGGCGCCGGUGUGCCCAAGGAUGUUGUAGAACUCUGUCUAGCCACAGUGUGGGGAUGGGGAGCUCCCGCCGACAGACUCUGUUGCUU
rnacentral:lncRNA from 10 species